rnacentral:tRNA from 1 species
GCAUUAAUGGGGUAGUGGUAACUUGGGUCGUUGCCAAUCUCAUCUCGACCCGCCGGGGGUUCGAUUCCCCCUUAAUGCA